rnacentral:rRNA from 1 species
UCCUACAACUCACUAAGAAAAUUUUUUAAAAGGGCAUGGAUCUCGUCUGAUCUCGGAAGCUAAGCAAGGUCGGGCCUGAUUAGUACUUGGAUGGGAGAUCACCUAGGAAGACCAGGUGCUGUAGGUG